rnacentral:rRNA from 1 species
UACGUAGGGACCAAGCGUUGUUCGGAUUUACUGGGCGUAAAGGGCGCGUAGGCGGCGCGGUAAGUCACUUGUGAAAUCUCUGAGCUUAACUCAGAACGGCCAAGUGAUACUGCAGUGCUAGAGUGUGGAAGGGGCAAUCGGAAUUCUUGGUGUAGCGGUGAAAUGCGUAGAUAUCAAGAGGAACACCUGAGGUGAAGACGGGUUGCUGGGCUGACACUGACGCUGAUGCGCGAAAGCUAGGGGAGCGAACGGG